UCCUACGGGGGGCAGCAGUGAGGAAUAUUGGUCAAUGGUCGGGAGACUGAACCAGCUAAGCCGCGUGAGGGAUGAAGGUACAGAGUAUCGUAAACCUCUUUUGUCAGGGAACAAAGGCGGGGACGUGUCCCCGGAUGAGUGUACCUGAAGAAAAAGCAUCGGCUAACUCCGUGCCAGCAGCCGCGGUAAUACGGAGGAUGCGAGCGUUAUCCGGAUUUAUUGGGCUUAAAGGGGGCGCAGGCGGGCUGUUAAGGCAGCGGUCAAAGCCCGGGGCUCAACCCCGGCCCGCCGUUGAAACUGGCAGU
rnacentral:rRNA from 1 species